ensembl:lncRNA
CUUUCCUUUUAUAGCCAUCCAACUAUCCCCCAGAUCUUCCCAUCCCUCUCUCUGGAGGGCUUCCUGCUUUCUCCCCUCUGGAGACCUAGUCCUUGGAUUUAGGCCAAUCGCAGGGAGAGGCAUUCUCUUUGAAAUAUGUGAGAGAAGUAAUAUCUCUUGGGAAUGAUUUUCAAGACAAAACAUUUUAUAGCCGAAAACCUUUUUGUUCCUAAUAAUAAAACUGCUCUGGCUGAAGCAGGCUGGGACCCUGGGCCUUCCUUCUCUGCCCUUACUCGGUGACCCUUGUGCAGAAGCCUGAGGUGUUGGGAGCCAUGUUUCAGAUGCUUCAAAGCAAACCAACCAGCCCUACAAUCUCAUUACCGGGACGGCUGGCGACAUUGAGUGUGGGCUGGCUAUGAGAUGACGUUAGAGAAUGAUUGUUCAUGCUGCGAGGUGUGAUAAUGGUAUUAGGGUUAUGUGAGAAAAGGAAUGGUGUCAAGGUAAUGUGACAAAAUGUCCUUGUGUUUUAAAGCAUCAUUGUUCACAAUGUCUGAAAUGUGCAUAAAAAAGCAAAUAUGAUAAAUUGAAAACAAUGUUAAAUUUAGGUGCUCUGUACAUGGAGCUGGUUAUAAUAUUCUCUCUAAAAAUGGAAAGGCAAAGCUUUAAACUGUGAGAGCUGCAGGCCCCCCGGGAGGAAAAGGUUGAUUGGUACAGUUUCCCUCUGAGGCCUGGGUGCCUGUUUAGAGCAGGACCUGCAGACAGGGAUUCGGGGUGGGAGGUCUACUAUAUGCUUCUGUUCACUCGCCACCCACAGGUGCAGCAAAGCACCUAAACCUCAUCUCUCGUGGAACUCUCUACUCGGGAUAACCUCCACCCCUCUCCCGGGUAUCCAGGCACCCGAGGAGAGCACCUCAGGGUUACCAGGAAGCCGAUGGAUGCAAGCCGGGCAGUGAUGGAGCUCACUUGAGACACCCACCCGCCCCCCAGUGGCUCACUGGCCAGAUGCCAGCACUGUUCUCUUUCUCCUUGCUCUGCCACCAGUUAGCCCAGGGAGCUGAGAUGUGGCCUCUGAAAAGGAAGGGAAAUCAACAAGAGCUUCCAAAACACAGCAGGAUCCCCUCUGGCAUCUCUGAUGGGUGGCACCUGACCUUGGGGAACUAUUUCUAUUUGAGAUUCUUCCCAUGUCUACAGAGUGCUCCUAUGUGUCAGGCACAUCAGGGUCAGAGCCCAGUGACAUCUCCCAAGGACAGAGCAAGCUCAGGAACAAAAUGAACCAAGGUCUGCCAGUCUCCCAUUGCAGAUCCUGGGGCUGGAGUUGGGAGUUGCCGCAUGCUGGGACUGUGGAUGGGACCAUCUCGAUGAAGCAGUGGAAUGGUGGCUACUGGCAGAGAACUCUGUCCCUUGAUGAGAACCCACUCCUUGAGUUUUGCUUGAUCAGGUCCUCAGUGUUGCAAGAUCUGGAGCUUGGUUUUACCUGUUUAGGCCCUGGUGGUGUGCCUGAUAAUCGGAAUUGUCCACUUGGCUGGACCGAGAGACUCUUGGUGAUUGGAUCAGCAUUAAUGUGCUGUGGGGGUGGGGUCCAGGGGGAGAAGGUGGGUCACUAAGGGUGUGCAUUUCUCAUUGCUGCUCUUCCCUUGUGCUCUGCUUCCUGGCCACUGCCAACUGAGCAGCCUUGCUAGCCCAUGCCCUCACCAUGAUGUUCCUGCCUUGGAGCCAGCUGACCAUGGACUGAAUCCCC